rnacentral:lncRNA from 1 species
GGCACUUGGCAGGAGUAAGAGCUGUAGCUCUUGCAACAAAACCUGGGCAGAGCGGAGAGCUCAGUGCAGUGACAGGGUGGUGUGACUGCUCCUGAGUAUUUUGAAACCACUGUGGUGUUUGCAAUGUGAUAGCUCUGGGGGUAUUUUCAUGCACAGCCUGCUGCCAUCACAGUAUCACCCAGAGGCGAGGGGAGAGAGCUGGAUGAGCCAAUGCAACGACAGGUUUUAUGCCUUUACUGACUCUGAGCUCGAGCUGAAAUCAAAGAGCAGCCAGCUGUCAUGAACUCUUCCAUGGGAGGUGCCUGAGAUAACAUUUCUCCCAAAAAACUCCAUUUCAGAAUGUCUCAACAUUCAGCAUUAUUCAGAGUUCUCCCCACCUGAGAGACUCACCAGGGCUGGUGCUGCUCAUGCAGCUGUGUGCAGCUACAACAGUAGGAGUGAGCUCUGUUGGGAACAGAGAAGUGACUCCUGGACCUUUCUCUGCUCCCGUGAGAAAAGCAAGCCUUGGAAGAGACCCUCAGAAAGCUUUCCUGCCAAACAGCUGCGGUGCAGCCGGACCAUCCUGCCGUGGGUGCUGCAGUGACACCGAC